AGUGGAUGGGGAGCAACCUAGUUGUGCGUGUGUAAAGGUAGUGCCAAGAAAAGCGGUGAUCAUGAUGAAAAUCAAUUCCCGGUACCCGAAACCGACACAGGUGGGCAAGUAGAGAAUACUAAGGGGCGCGAGGUAACUCUCUCCAAGGAACUCGGCAAAAUGACCCCGUAACUUAGGGAGAAGGGGUGCCACCGAGAGGUGGUCGCAGUGAAGAGGCCCAGGCGACUGUUUAGCAAAAACAUAGGUCUCUGCAAACUCGAAAGAGAAGGUAUAGGGGCUGACGCCUGCCCAGUGCCGGAAGGUUAAAGAAGUUGGUCAGUCUUAGGAUGAAGCUAGCGACUGAAGCCCCGGUGAACGGCGGCCGUAACUAUAACGGUCCUAAGGUAGCGAAAUUCCUUGUCGGGUAAGUUCCGACCCGCACGAAAGGCGUAACGACCUGGGCGCUGUCUCGGAGAGAGGCUCGGCGAAAUAGGAUUGUCUGUGAAGAUACGGACUACCUGCAUUUGGACAGAAAGACCCUAUGAAGCUUUACUACAGCUUGGAAUUGUGUUCGGGCUUCCUGUGCGCAGGAUAGGUGGGAGGCGUAGAAGGCAUUCUUGUGGGGAUACUGGAGCCAACGGUGAGAUACCACUCUCAGGAGGCUAGAAUUCUAACUUAAUUAAGGACAGUUUCAGGUGGGUAGUUUGACUGGGGCGGUCGCCUCCAAAAAGGUAACGGAGGCGUACAAAGGUUCCCUCAGACUGGUUGGAAAUCAGUCGAAGAGUGCAAAGGCAGAAGGGAGCUUGACUGCGAGAAGUACAGUUCGAGCAGGGUGGAAACACGGUCUUAGUGAUCCGACGGUGCUGUGUGGAAGGGCCGUCGCUCAACGGAUAAAAGUUACUCUAGGAUAACAGGCUGAUCUCCCCCAAGAGUUCACAUCGACGGGGAGGUUUAGCACCUCGAUGUCGGCUCAUCGCAACCUGGGGCGGAAGUACGUCCCAAGGGUUGGGCUGUUCGCCCAUUAAAGCGGUACGUGAGCUGGGUUCAGAACGUCGUGAGACAGUUCGGUCCAUAUCCGAUGUAGGCGUGAGAAUAUUGAGAGGAGCCUUCCUUAGUACGAGAGGACCGGGAAGGACGCACCGCUGGUGUACCUGUUAUGAUGCCAAUUGUAAACGCAGGGUAGCCAAGUGUGGAGAGGAUAACCGCUGAAAGCAUCUAAGUGGGAAGCCCACCUCAAGAUGAGUAUUCUGGUGUAAGGUCACGGGAAGACGACCCGUAAAUAGGCACGAGGUGGAAGUGCAGAGAUGUAUGAAGCCGAAGUGUACUAAUAGACCGUAGGCUUGAUC
rnacentral:rRNA from 1 species